rnacentral:lncRNA from 1 species
UGUUUCAGACCUUCACAAUGCACAGUCAUUAAAACCAAACAGGAUCCCGCGAGCCACAGAGGUUGAUCAUUAUUUUCAUGGAAAAUCGUAAUGUCAAUAUGGAUGAAGGAAACGCCUCAGAAAAUUACUUACGAGAGCCAAUCUUGCGACUGAUAAAAUGCGAAGUCGAAAACGUCGGCGAUUGUGAACACACAGCGAUUGAACAUAAACAUAUAACUGUUCCUCUGCUGACAAAAAUUAAAACAGAAAUUGAUGAAGACAGGAAUCCACUUGCAGGUUUAGCAAAUAUACCCCCAGUUACAUUUGAUUUGGUCAUGAAAAAAGAAACUGAAAGUGAACAGCCAAAUCGAGGGGACAAACAUCCCGUCCAUCAGUCAAAAAUCAGGGUGAAAGAAGAGUUAAUGAAGAACGACACUGACGAGGAUCUAGGAAGCUCUCCUCAAGAAAUUGAAGUUUCACAGAUGCGACAGAAUUCAGUGGCCCUCCUCAGGAUACUUGAUCAGGAACCACCAUUACACGACCAUUCACGUGUGAUAGAAGCUGCCCAAAGUGUUGUUCAUCCUGAUCAUUUGAAUGACAUUUUACCAGACCAACGUAAAUUGGUUGUUCUUCUCAAGAAACUUGACCCAAAACUGUUACACAACCAUCCAAGGGUACCAGAAGCAACUUUAAAUGCCAAUCAUUCUAUUCUAAACUCUCAGACAAAAAAGGAGGUAAGGAGUUGUUUGAUUGUAACUUACAUUAUGAGAAUAAAUUUGAAAACUCCUUGCAACUGUCAGUCAUGGCAUGAAUCAGUAAAAAUUGAAGGGAAAUGUUGAUGAGGUAUUAUGGGUCUGUUGCAUCCAAGAGAUACAACCAAGCAAAGAGGCGUUCUUGGUUCUAUCAGUAAAUUCACAUGAAAUUUAUCAUGGGCACAUUUAAAAAGUCUGGAAAUGACUCUUUGGUGCACAAUUUGUGUAGUUUUCCACACGUUUUUUUAAAUUUUCUGCGGCCGAGGGCAGUGCUACAUAGUCGCCAGCAACCCGAUCUGAUUUCCCCAGAAAAAGACGUGAAAAAAACCUGACUCAAUUAAACAAAUGAUAUUGUAACUUUUUUCUCGAGUACCACGUUUCCACCUUAUUUUUUGGUUCAGCAAAAAAAAAGAGAAAAACAAGAUGUUAAUUAAUAAAUUGAAAUCAUGCUCAAUAUUUGACCUAUAUCGCACACUUUGUCUCUCUAUAAAGCCUGAAGAGCGAUACUUAACAACUUGCAAAGAGGCGUGUUAAAAUUUAUAGCUAAUUUCUAAACGUUUCAGGGUCCUGUCAUGGAUUCUUUCAUUUCUUCUCUCGGCGAUUCGGCCCUAAAAUACCCCAAAACCGAGCGACAGAUUAAGAACCCUCGUGAAUCAUUGGAAAAAAGACGUGUAAAUUCCAAACGACAUAAGAAUUUCAACCAACAGCAGAAAAGAGAAAUUGUAUCAAACCAGGAUGAAAGCACCACUCCCAGUCUCACCAUAUUUCUCAAACUGCGUACCGUGCUAGAAGACGUUUGAAUACCCACCAGUAUCCGGCAAGGGAUCUGAGUAUAUACAAUAACCAACCCAGCGAGAACAAAGAGGCAAGAAAGCCUCGUCUUUGAAGACAUUACACUUGGAUUCUCAGAGCGAGAAAGUCUCGUCAUUGAAGAAAUUACACUUGGAUUCUCAGAGCGAGAAAGUCUCUUCAUUGAAGACAUUACGCAUGGAUUCUCAGAGCGAGAACAUGGGACGUGAAACAGGUGAAACGAAGCAACCUGCAUCUUUGCCCUCUAAUUUGUGUUUACAGUCUUCUUCACAACUGAAAACGAACCCCUCUACUAAAAACGAUGAUCGAUCUGAUUGUUCCCGCAAUUUCUCAGAAAAAUGUAUGCAAGAACAUGAUUCGAUGAAACACGUCACGUUGGCCCAUGAUAAUGACCGACCGCAUUCGUUUGAUCCACCUGAAUACGAACUCGCAAUGCGAAAUGAUACAGAUGACCGAUAUUUUAUUUGCGAUUAUUGUCAAUAUAAGUCCAGAUUUAAAGGCAAUUUGAAGAAGCACAUUUCCCGUAUCCACAUUUUGGAUGAUCUAUCUUUCUCUUGUGGUCAUUGUGCGAAGACAUUUUGCUCAAAAGAAUAUUUGGCUAGGCAUAUUGCCCGUAAUCACAGUCAAGAUCUACCGCUCUCUCGUGAUAUUUGUACACGUAAAUUUAAAAAUAAAGGUUCUUUGCGGAGCCACGUUUCGCUCAUUCACUGCGACGAUCGGCCGUUCCAUUGCAGUAUUUGUACAUGUAAAUUUAAAUCUAAUUAUAGUUUGUGUAGCCAUAUCUUGCAUGUGCAUAUAGAACCGAUCGCUCUCGCUCUUGUGGACAUUGUGCUAAACAAAUUAAGACGAAAACAGCUCUAAAGACACAUACCACAUGCAUCCACAACCACGAUCGACCUUAUUUCUACGGUAUUUGUACAGGUAAAUUUGGAACGAAAACAAAUUUGAAGAGACACGUCUUGCAAACCCAUAGUGAUGAUCGGUCUUUCUUCUGCAGUAUUCGUAUCAGUAAAUUUAAAGCGAAUGAUUCUUUGCGGCGGCAUGUCCUGCGUUUUCACAGAAGCGAUCGCCUUUUUUAUUCUAGUGAAAUGUGCAACACAGUUUAAAUCGAAAGUUGAAGUCACAUAUGCACCCGCAGCAAUGAUAAACUGUUCAUGAUUGUAAUUUUCUAUCUGGAUCUAAAAGGAAUACUUAUUUGAAAGCACAUGCCGAACGCACAUUCACAUCACUUAUGGACCUUACUCUAGUGGUGAUACCGUGCUAUAAGGAUAUUUUAAACAAAAUAAUAUUUAAAGUCACUCAUUGCUCACGUGCGUAAUGAGGAUAGAUUAUUCUCAUGUAGUAUGUGAACGCGUAAAUUUAAAAAAACGAAUCAUAAAUUGAAGGAGCACGUCUAUCGUGUUCACAGCAACGAUCACGCUAAUUGUGUUAACAGCAUCGAUCACGCCUAUUGUGUACACAGCAACGAUGGACUUAUUCUUGGUGUCCCUGUCUAAGAAUAUUUUUUUUAAUUGACAAAGCGUUUCAGCACAUGAUAGAAGUCAAGUAAUUACAUUUUUUUAAAAUUUUGUUUACUCUAUUGAGACGAAAUUCAUUUCUAUUGUGCAGACGCGUUUCGAGCGAGCGGAUCAUCAUCGGGGACUCCGGGUGACACAUCGGUGAAUCGCACCAAUGAUGAGCCGUUCACUCGGAUCACGUCUGCACAACGCAAAUGAAUUUCGUCUCAAGUGAGUAAUUUUGAAAAAUUCAAUUACUUGACCUGCGCAAGAAGAUUAACUUGAGGGAUAUUUUAAAGUAAAAAAUUUCGUACUUUUACAACAAUAAUUGAGUGGCACUUGUUUUCAUAAUAAUUUCAAACGAGAGUUAUUUUUCGGGCAUACGUCGUUACCUUCCAUUGAGUACAUAGAGUUGUAAUGUGAAUGUGAAUUACCCUUGUUACUAUUUCAAAAUAAAAUCUUCUCGCUGGCAUACUCAAGAAUAUUUCUGCCUAAAUCGAGUCACUUUUUUCUCUAACGAAAUUCAAAAAUUAUGCUAAACGUUAUUAAAUACGAAUGCUAGGACUUCGUGGGUUUUUGGACUACCGCUCUCUUUUUGUGCCGUGGUAUCUUGAUUUAUUUUGCGAGGACCCUUAAAGGAUGCCUGUCAUUCUUGAUACGUUGGAGAGCCUUCAAUUUUGUAUGAUGCUGUGCAACACCUCUGUUGCGAAAUAGUUGCUUGAAGCGUCGCAGGGCGACCAGCGCGACACGCGCACUGGCGCCUUCAAACCUAACAGAGAUACCGCACGCAUUGCGCAAUGCGUGAGGUAUCCAGUUAGGUUUGUAGGCGCCAGUGCGCGUUUCCCGCCGGUAGCAUGCCGCACCGCUCUGUGUGAGGUUCUACUAUUUAAACUCAGGGAGUCAGCGUUUUUCAACUCGUUAUUUUGAAAUGUUGGACACUCUGCAUUGAUUAUUCUCAUUUAAAUUGAUGGGAAAAAAAUGUUUUAAAGGAAAAUACAAUGUGUAUUUUGUAAAUAUUAAGGUGGUGCCGUAUCAAAUUUAAUGAAUUCAUAAGCACUGUAGUUUUAAGCGUGCCAGUAGGGCUCGCUUUUUGAAAUCACUCGGAUGUACCAUAGUACAGCACACCGAUUAACCAAUG